UCCAGGUUGAUCCUGCCGGACCUGACUGCUAUCUGAUUGGUACUAAGCCAUGCGAGUCGUUGUAGCAAUACAAGGCGGACUGCUCAGUACACGUAGUUAACUUAACCUAUGGAUGGGAAUAACCUCGGGAAACUGAGAAUAAUACCCAAUGGGCCACAGUGCCUGGAAUGGCCUGUGGUUGAAAUGAUUUAUCGCCGUAGGAUAGGACUGCGGCCUAUCAGCUUGUUGGUGAGGUAAUGGCCCACCAAGGCUAUAACAGGUACGGGCUCUGAGAGGAGGGGCCCGGAGAUGGGUACUGAGACACGGACCCAGGCCCUAUGGGGCGCAGCAGGCGAGAAACCUUUGCAAUGUGCGAAAGCACGACAAGGUUAAUCCGAGUGUCUCCUGCUAAAGGAGUCUUUUGUCAGUUGUAGAAUCACUGGUGAAUAAGGGGUGGGCAAGUUCUGGUGUCAGCCGCCGCGGUAAAACCAGCACCUCGAGUGGUCAGGAGGUUUAUUGGGCCUAAAGCAUCCGUAGCCGGUUGCAUAAGUUUCCGGUUAAAUCUAUGCGCUCUACGUAUAGGCCGCCGAAAAUACUGUGCAGCUAGGGAGUGGGAGAGGUACACGGUACUCGAUAGGAAGGGGUAAAUCCUUUGAUCUAUUGAGG
rnacentral:rRNA from 1 species